CUCCCAGUGCUAUCCCUGCUGAUUGCAAUGAUGGUCUUCAGAAGAAUAAAAUGGGAGGAAAAGUCCCAGCUGCAACUUCAAGGAAUGGCUCAAUGCACUAUUCGUGGCUUGAAAGAACAGCAUUGCCAUCCACAGUGGCAGUUUGUAUGAACCUUCUUAGAUGGCUCUCAUGCUCAGAUUUCUGUGCUGCAGCUCAUUAGCAGGAGAGCUGCCUGUGGGGCCGUGGCAGGUUUGUAGUACAGCAGGAUGUGCACUAAAAUCAAAAUCCAGUUAGGAGUGGUGUUAUCCCAAUGCUGCCUGGGCACUAACAAUUAAACCUGGAUGAGAAUAUGACACCUGGACUUUGGGACUCGUGAGAUGAAUAUAAUGCUUGCUGAGGGCUGUCCCUGCCCAGGAAAGCACUAAAACAGGUGUAUAAACCCUGCCGUGUUCGGUGGGAUUUAGGCACCUGCUUAAACUUAAGUGCUUGUUUAGAGAGUUUCCUGAAUGAAAGCCUGACAAUUGUGCCCAAGAGUAACUUUUAAAUUAGUUUUAAUUUGUUCAUCAUAACCAGCUGUCAUGAGCGUGUGUAAAAAAGGGGUCUGAUUCUGGAAAGAUGAAAGACUUCCCAGGCCCUUGGCUUUUAUGUAAGCACCCUUGCUGGAUGGCCAGCAUGCUGCUGAGCUGAAAAAUCUCUGCUCAGCUCUGCUUUUAUUAUGUGUUGCUCUGUGGUCCCACUGGGGCUGCAGUGCCAGCACAGCAAACUGCCGUGCCAGGAGCUGGUACCACCCACUUGCACCUCACCAACAGGGUCCCAUCAGAGGCAAUCUGCAGGCUGCAACAGAGGAGGAGAAAGUCCGUGCUGUAUUUAGUAGUCCCAGUAAAUGUCCUAAGGAGUAACUUCCCCCUUCCUUGAUGCAACCUGAAAGUGCAGCCCUCCAGUUUGCAUUUCAAGUUCCAAGUCAGCCAUGUCAAGAUUUGAGCAACAACCAAGGAGGAUAAUGGCUCAGAUGUUUGGCUCUGCCAGCGGUUAGAAAAGAUGUUGUUUGUCUAAAGAGACAAGGGUGUGGUGAAAAUACUCUGUGCCAGCCAAGUGAACCAAAACACUAUCUGAAUUACUACGGUGGCUGGAAAAAUAAAUUUAACUGACAGAAGAUCUGGACCCUACCUGUGCUGAGAGA